UACGAAGGGGGCUAGCGUUGCUCGGAAUUACUGGGCGUAAAGCGCGCGCAGGCGGUUCUCCAAGUCAGUGGUGAAAGCCCGGAGCUCAACUCCGGAAUUGCCAUUGAAACUGUUGAACUUGAGGAUGAGAGAGGUGAGUGGAAUUCCCAGUGUAGAGGUGAAAUUCGUAGAUAUUGGGAAGAACACCGGUGGCGAAGGCGGCUCACUGGCUCAUUACUGACGCUCAGGCGCGAUAGCGUGGGGAUCAAACAGG
rnacentral:rRNA from 1 species